GGCGUGCUUAACACAUGCAAGUCGAACGAUGAAGAGCAGCUUGCUGCUUGGAUUAGUGGCGCACGGGUGAGUAAUAUAUAGGUAAUGUGCCUCUUAGUCUGGGAUAGCCAUUGGAAACGAUGAUUAAUACUGGAUACUCCUUCUAACUCUAAUGUUAGUCGGGAAAGUUUUUCGCUAAGAGAUCAGCCUAUAUCCCAUCAGUUAGUUGGUAAGGUAACGGCUUACCAAGGCAAUGACGGGUAGCGGGUUUGAGAGGAUGAUCCGCCACACUGGUACUGAGACACGGACCAGACUCCUACGGGAGGCAGCAGUGAGGAAUAUUGCACAAUGGGGGAAACCCUGAUGCAGCAACGCCGCGUGGAGGAUGACGCAUUUCGGUGUGUAAACUCCUUUUAUAUGUCAAGAAAAUGACGGUAGCAUAUGAAUAAGCACCGGCUAACUCCGUGCCAGCAGCCGCGGUAAUACGGAGGGUGCAAGCGUUACUCGGAAUCACUGGGCGUAAAGGACGCGUAGGCGGAUUGGAAAGUCAGAUGUGAAAUCCUACAGCUUAACUGUAGAACUGCAUUUGAAACUUCUAAUCUAGAGUAUGGGAGGGGGAGAUGGAAUUAGUGGUGUAGGGGUAAAAUCCGUAGAUAUCACUAGGAAUACCGAAAGCGAAGGCGAUCUCCUGGAACAUUACUGACGCUAAGGCGUGAAAGCGUGGGGAGCAAACAGGAUUAGAUACCCUGGUAGUCCACGCCCUAAACGAUGAACACUAGUCGUCGGGAUGCUUGUCAUCUCGGUGAUGCACUUAACAGAUUAAGUGUUCCGCCUGGGGAGUACG
rnacentral:rRNA from 1 species